UCUAUACGGAGUUACAAAGGACGACAUUAGACGAAUCAUCUGGAAAGAUGAAUCAAAGAAGGUAAUAAUCCUGUAGUCGAAAAUGUUGUCUCUCUUGAGUGGAUCCUGAGUACGACGGAGCACGUGAAAUUCCGUCGGAAUCUGGGAGGACCAUCUCCUAAGGCUAAAUACUCUCUAGUGACCGAUAGUGAACCAGUACCGUGAGGGAAAGGUGAAAAGCACCCCGGAAGGGGAGUGAAAUAGAACCUGAAACCGUGUGCUUACAAGUAGUCAGAGCCCGUUAAUGGGUGAUGGCGUGCCUUUUGUAGAAUGAACCGGCGAGUUACGAUUUGAUGCAAGGUUAAGCAGUAAAUGUGGAGCCGUAGCGAAAGCGAGUCUGAAUAGGGCGUUUAGUAUUUGGUCGUAGACCCGAAACCAGGUGAUCUACCCUUGGUCAGGUUGAAGUUCAGGUAACACUGAAUGGAGGACCGAACCGACUUACGUUGAAAAGUGAGCGGAUGAACUGAGGGUAGCGGAGAAAUUCCAAUCGAACCUGGAGAUAGCUGGUUCUCUCCGAAAUAGCUUUAGGGCUAGCCUCAAGUGAUGAUUAUUGGAGGUAGAGCACUGUUUGGACGAGGGGCCCCUCUCGGGUUACCGAAUUCAGACAAACUCCGAAUGCCAAUUAAUUUAACUUGGGAGUCAGAACAUGGGUGAUAAGGUCCGUGUUCGAAAGGGAAACAGCCCAGACCACCAGCUAAGGUCCCAAAAUAUAUGUUAAGUGGAAAAGGAUGUGGCGUUGCCCAGACAACUAGGAUGUUGGCUUAGAAGCAGCCAUCAUUUAAAGAGUGCGUAAUAGCUCACUAGUCGAGUGACACUGCGCCGAAAAUGUACCGGGGCUAAACAUAUUACCGAAGCUGUGGAUUGUCCUUUGGACAAUGGUAGGAGAGCGUUCUAAGGGCGUUGAAGCAUGAUCGUAAGGACAUGUGGAGCGCUUAGAAGUGAGAAUGCCGGUGUGAGUAGCGAAAGACGGGUGAGAAUCCCGUCCACCGAUUGACUAAGGUUUCCAGAGGAAGGCUCGUCCGCUCUGGGUUAGUCGGGUCCUAAGCUGAGGCCGACAGGCGUAGGCGAUGGAUAACAGGUUGAUAUUCCUGUACCACCUAUAAUCGUUUUAAUCGAUGGGGGGACGCAGUAGGAUAGGCGAAGCGUGCGAUUGGAUUGCACGUCUAAGCAGUAAGGCUGAGUAUUAGGCAAAUCCGGUACUCGUUAAGGCUGAGCUGUGAUGGGGAGAAGACAUUGUGUCUUCGAGUCGUUGAUUUCACACUGCCGAGAAAAGCCUCUAGAUAGAAAAUAGGUGCCCGUACCGCAAACCGACACAGGUAGUCAAGAUGAGAAUUCUAAGGUGAGCGAGCGAACUCUCGUUAAGGAACUCGGCAAAAUGACCCCGUAACUUCGGGAGAAGGGGUGCUCUUUAGGGUUAACGCCCAGAAGAGCCGCAGUGAAUAGGCCCAAGCGACUGUUUAUCAAAAACACAGGUCUCUGCUAAACCGUAAGGUGAUGUAUAGGGGCUGACGCCUGCCCGGUGCUGGAAGGUUAAGAGGAGUGGUUAGCUUCUGCGAAGCUACGAAUCGAAGCCCCAGUAAACGGCGGCCGUAACUAUAACGGUCCUAAGGUAGCGAAAUUCCUUGUCGGGUAAGUUCCGACCCGCACGAAAGGCGUAACGAUUUGGGCACUGUCUCAACGAGAGACUCGGUGAAAUCAUAGUACCUGUGAAGAUGCAGGUUACCCGCGACAGGACGGAAAGACCCCGUGGAGCUUUACUGUAGCCUGAUAUUGAAAUUCGGCACAGCUUGUACAGGAUAGGUAGGAGCCUUUGAAACGUGAGCGCUAGCUUACGUGGAGGCGCUGGUGGGAUACUACCCUAGCUGUGUUGGCUUUCUAACCCGCACCACUUAUCGUGGUGGGAGACAGUGUCAGGCGGGCAGUUUGACUGGGGCGGUCGCCUCCUAAAAGGUAACGGAGGCGCUCAAAGGUUCCCUCAGAAUGGUUGGAAAUCAUUCAUAGAGUGUAAAGGCAUAAGGGAGCUUGACUGCGAGACCUACAAGUCGAG
rnacentral:rRNA from 1 species